GGGCUUGUAGCUCAGUGGAUUAGAGCACGUGGCUACGAACCACGGUGUCGGGGGUUCGAAUCCCUCCCUGCCC
rnacentral:tRNA from 1 species